rnacentral:rRNA from 1 species
UACGUAGGGGGCGAGCGUUGUCCGGAAUCAUUGGGCGUAAAGCGCGUGUAGGCGGCUCGAUAAGUCCGGUGUGAAACCUUGGGGCUCAACCCCAAGCCUGCACUGGAUACUGCCGAGCUAGAGUCCGGGAGGGGAGAGCGGAAUUCCUAGUGUAGCGGUGAAAUGCGCAGAUAUUAGGAAGAACACCGGUGGCGAAGGCGGCUCUCUGGACCGGUACUGACGCUGAUGCGCGAAAGCGUGGGGAGCAAACGGG